UCAGCGGCACAUGAAGAAGGUUCGAGAAGAGCGUACUAAGAAGUUCCUGGAACGUUGCCAGAAGUCCCCCCAUGGUACUGAGUUUUUCCACCCGGAGGCUUCCCUGUAAUAAUGUCAUGUUGCAGGCAUGUACGGAGACCUCCCUGCUAGCUCCAGCUCCUACAAGGACCUAAUCCUUCUGAUAGAGAAACUGAUAGAACUCCUCAGUCCUCAAGUCUUCCACUGGUAAAGACUGCAGUUUGUACGAGCUGGAGCUCUUGUUUCACCCCAGGGUGGAAAAGUGGUACGCUAGUCCAGACCAUGGAACAUCAACGUCCUGCUGUUAUUCAGAGCACUGAUGUGGCUGGAUGGAAACCAACCUCUAAAAUUAGACUUGUUCUUCCCGAUAUUCUAGAAGAGGAAGGAGAGAAGGAGGAACCACACAAAGGAAUGUACAACGUGUCAGGAGGAGACCUCAUCACCCAACUCUACACCGCCUCCGGGCAACUACUGGACCUCACCUACCGGGCUGGCCGGCUCUAUUAUACCUCACCUACCGGGCUAAUACACGGGUCUUCAUAGUGAUAUGACUGUGAUUUCGAAUAAACUGAUAUUUACUGACAUUUUUGGUCAGGUUCAUGGUUAGGACAUUGGACAGUUGUUAUUUUUUACUUAGUUUGGUAAUGUUAUAAUAUUCUUGAUGUCAACUGUUUUAUAGCGUAAAUAUUCUGUUAUUCUAA